UGCAAGUCGAGCGAACUGAUUAGAAGCUUGCUUCUAUGACGUUAGCGGCGGACGGGUGAGUAACACGUGGGCAACCUGCCUGUAAGACUGGGAUAACUUCGGGAAACCGAAGCUAAUACCGGAUAGGAUCUUCUCCUUCAUGGGAGAUGAUUGAAAGAUGGUUUCGGCUAUCACUUACAGAUGGGCCCGCGGUGCAUUAGCUAGUUGGUGAGGUAACGGCUCACCAAGGCAACGAUGCAUAGCCGACCUGAGAGGGUGAUCGGCCACACUGGGACUGAGACACGGCCCAGACUCCUACGGGAGGCAGCAGUAGGGAAUCUUCCGCAAUGGACGAAAGUCUGACGGAGCAACGCCGCGUGAGUGAUGAAGGCUUUCGGGUCGUAAAACUCUGUUGUUAGGGAAGAACAAGUACGAGAGUAACUGCUCGUACCUUGACGGUACCUAACCAGA
rnacentral:rRNA from 2 species